rnacentral:misc_RNA from 1 species
UCAAACUUGGUCAUUUAGAGGAAGUAAAAGUCGUAACAAGGUUUCCGUAGGUGAACCUGCGGAAGGAUCAUUACAAAGGUUGACUAAAUGCCGUGUUCCCGGGGCCUCUCUCCUUCUCUCUCUCGAGGGGGGGGUGUGUGUUUCGGGGGCGCGGCAUGUACCAACAACCAUGAUCAUCCACCGUGUGCACUCAUUGAGCCAUGGGAGGCGCCUUUAUUUUUUUGGACCUCUCAUGGUUCCAAACCAUUCUUUAGCCUUACCGUUUGUCUGAACCUUAUCAUUUUAAAAUGAAAAUACAACUUUCAACAACGGAUCUCUUGGCUCUCGCAUCGAUGAAGAACGCAGC